CCUACGGGUGGCAGCAGUCGAGAAUCUUUCUCAAUGGGCGAAACUCUGAUCGUGCGACGUAGCGUGGGGGAUUGAUGGCCUUCGGAUUGUAAACUUCUGUUAUGUGGGAGUAAAUUAUUCCGCUAGUACCACAUGAUGUAGAGACGUCUAACACGGUGCCAGUAGCCGCGGUAAUACAGAGGUGUCAAUCGUUGUUCGGAAUUACUGGGCGUAAGGUGUGCGUAGGCGGUUUCGUAAGUCAGUUGUGAAAGGCGGGGGCUCAACCUGAAGAUUGCACCUGAAAAUGCGAGUCUAGAGUACAGGAGAGGUGAGCGGAAUUCGCGGUGUAGCGGUGAAAUGCGUAGAUAUCAAGAAGAACACUGAUGGCGAAGGCAGGUCCCUGGACUGUAACUGACACUGAGGCUCGAAAGUGAGGGUAUCAAAAAGGAUUAGAUACCCGUGUAGUC
rnacentral:rRNA from 1 species